GACGAACGCUGGCGGCGUGCCUAAUACAUGCAAGUAGAACGCUGAAGCGAGGAGCUUGCUCUUCUUGGAUGAGUUGCGAACGGGUGAGUAACGCGUAGGUAACCUGCCUUGUAGCGGGGGAUAACUAUUGGAAACGAUAGCUAAUACCGCAUAACAAUGGAUGACACAUGUCAUUUAUUUGAAAGGGGCAAUUGCUCCACUACAAGAUGGACCUGCGUUGUAUUAGCUAGUAGGUGAGGUAACGGCUCACCUAGGCGACGAUACAUAGCCGACCUGAGAGGGUUGUCGGCCACACUGGGACCGAGACAAGGCCCAGACCUCUACGGGAGGCAGCAGGAGGGAAUCUUCGGCAAUGGGGGCAACCCUGACCGGGCAACGCCGCGGGAGGGAAGAAGGGUUUCGGAUCGGAAAGCUCUGUUGUAAGUCAAGAACGAGUGGGGGAGUGGAAAGUUCACACUGUGACGGUAGCUAACCAGAAAGGGACGGCUAACUACGUG
rnacentral:rRNA from 1 species